AAGUCGUAACAAGGUUUCCGUAGGUGAACCUGCGGAAGGAUCAUUACCCAAAAGGAUACCCUCGUGGUAUACCCCACCCGUGUCUAUCUACUCUUGUUGCUUUGGCAGGCCGUGGUCUUCCACUGUGGGCUCUGCCUGCAUGUGCCUGCCAGAGGACCAAACUCUGAAUUUUAGUGAUGUCUGAGUACUAUAUAAUAGUUAAAACUUUCAACAACGGAUCUCUUGGUUCUGGCAUCGAUGAAGAACGCAGCGAAAUGCGAUAAGUAAUGUGAAUUGCAGAAUUCAGUGAAUCAUCGAAUCUUUGAACGCACAUUGCGCCCUGUGGUAUUCCGCAGGGCAUGCCUGUUCGAGCGUCAUUACAACCAAAAUUAAGCCUAGCUUAGUGUUGGGGUUCGCAGUUCUGCGGCCCUUAAUAUCAGUGGCGGUGCCUGUAGGCUCUGAGCGUAGUAAUUCUUCUCGCUAUAGAACCCUAUAAGUGUCCUGCCAAAACCCCCAUAUUUUUUCAGGUUGACCUCGGAUCAGGUAGGGAUACCCGCUGAACUUAAGCAUAUCAAUAAGCGGAGGAAAAGAAACCAACAGGGAUUACCUCAGUAACGGCGAGUGAAGCGGUAAUAGCUCAAAUUUGAAAGCUGCCAACAGGCCGCGUUGUAAUUUGUAGAAGAUGCUUUGGGUGUUGGCCUAGUCUAAGUUCUUUGGAACAGGACGUCAUAGAGGGUGAGAAUCCCGUAUGUGAUUAGUGCCAUCCCCCGUGUAAAGCUCUUUCGACGAGUCGAGUUGUUUGGGAAUGCAGCUCAAAAUGGGUGGUAAAUUUCAUCUAAAGCUAAAUAUUGGCCAGAGACCGAUAGCGCACAAGUAGAGUGAUCGAAAGAUGAAAAGCACUUUGGAGAGAGAGUUAAACAGUACGUGAAAUUGUUGAAAGGGAAGCGCUUGCAAUCAGACUUGCAGGCGGUUGAUCAUCCGAGGUUCUCCCCGGUGCACUCGAUCGUCUUCAGGCCAGCAUCGGUUUCAGUGGUGGGAUAAAGGCUGUGAGAAUGUGGCUCUUCGGAGUGUUAUAGCUCACGGUGCAAUGCCGCCUACUGGGACCGAGGACCGCGCUUCGGCUAGGAUGCUGGCGUAAUGGUUGUAAGCGACC
rnacentral:rRNA from 1 species